CCUACGGGAGGCAGCAGUAAGGAAUAUUGGUCAAUGGAGGCAACUCUGAACCAGCCAUGCCGCGUGCAGGAUGAAGGCGCUCUGCGUUGUAAACUGCUUUUAUCUGGGAAGAAAUCUCUGUUUCUACAGAAGUUGACGGUACCAGAGGAAUAAGCACCGGCUAACUCCGUGCCAGCAGCCGCGGUAAUACGGAGGGUGCAAGCGUUAUCCGGAUUUACUGGGUUUAAAGGGUGCGUAGGCGGGCUAAAAAGUCAGUGGUGAAAGCUCCGGGCUUAACUCGGAAACUGCCAUUGAUACUCUUAGUCUUGAAUUCAGUUGAGGUCGGCGGAAUGUGUCGUGUAGAGGUGAAAUUCUUAGAUAUGACACAGAACACCAAUUGCGAAGGCAGCUGGCUAAACUGAUAUUGACGCUGAGGCACGAAAGCGUGGGGAUCAAACAGGAUUAGAUACCCUGGUAGUC
rnacentral:rRNA from 1 species